rnacentral:lncRNA from 1 species
AAAGAAAAGAAAAGAAAAAAGAAAAGAAAAAGAAAAGAAAAGGAAAGAGAAAGAAAAAAAAAAAAGGGGGAGAAGAAAAGAGAUCCUUAACGGAUCCGACCUAAUGGGACGGAUCGGGGUUCGGGUCCGAAACCCGUUAAGCCCAAUAAUAAGAAAUUGAUUUAGCCAAUUGAACCUGAACCCGAGCCUAAUUAAAUUGGGCUAAGUCUCAACGAGCCCAAACUGCAAAUUGGGUCAAAUCCGAAACAAAUUAAGCCCAAAUUGAUUUGGGUCCGAACCCAAUUAAAUUGAGUUAGUUCCAGCAGACCCAAUCUGGUUUUAAAUCGAACCCCAGAGGCUUCAAAUUGGACUUGGGCUAAAUCCUUGGAUGGGAUCCAAGCAAGUAAGUUCAUAAUAUGAUGAACUAAGAGAUUUUAUAAUAAAUAAAUGGGGAAUAAUGUAAUCCUUAUUAUGUUGUUUUAGGUGAUUAAGGAUUUGUCAUCUGGACUUGAGCAAUUUGGAAAGCGAAUUGAUGUAAGUAAUCUGUCUUAAUCUUAUCGUAGAUCUUGUAUUACGUUUUAUAAGAUGAACCAGUGUUUUUCAUACAAUUUGAAUUGUAUACAUGAUUUGUGAAGAAAGUAAGUAACCUG